UCAGCUACACAGUUUAAUCUUAUUUUUGUUGAAGUAUUUGAACUUUUUUUUCUAUUAGUCUAGAUGUUUUAGAACUAGGAAAGCAUUUUGUCAUCACCUUUAAGGAGAAUUAUGUCACCAUAAUAUUGGUAACACAAGAAGCGUUACUUUUGGGGGGGGGGGGGGGAUUCAGGUUAAGCAUAGUAAUAAGGGGUGUGGAUAUAAUGGAAAAUCUGAGUCCAACCGUAAUGAAAGGAAGUUAAAUAGGAUUAUCAGGGAAUGUAGAGAUCGUUUUAAGUUAGUUGGUUCUGCUCGUGUACCUCUUUCUGAUACAAUAAACUCCAUGGUUGAAUUAAUUAAUUAUUAACUUGAGAAGGAAUUGGAUAAAGCUAAUCCAAGCGUGAAUGGCAUGUGGGUUGAUGAGUCGGGAAUCUUCGAGCAGUAAAUGGUACUGACCAUUCAGCUCAGUUGGAAAUGAGGGUGAGAGAGGAAUUAGAAGAGGUUCUCCAUCAUGACGAAUUAUUGUGGAAACAGAAACCUAGAUGUGAUUGGUUGGCUUUGGGGGACCGUAACACCAAUUUUUUUCAUAGGCUUACACUGUAGAAAAGGAAAUAUAAUCGAAUCAUUACCUUGAAAAUUGAGGAAGGAGAGUGGAUCUUUGAAGAAGUUGAUCUUCAAUUUGGGUCGGUUAGAUGAUUCAAGAAAUUGUAUGGUGAGCAACCAGUUAGAAUCAGAGAUUUACUGUCUAGUAUGUUCCCAAGGCUUGAUCACAGUAAUGUUCUAUUUUUGGGUAAGGAGGUCUCUAUAGAUGAAAUUAAGUUUGUAACCUCCUCAACCCAGCCUAAACAUUAUGGCCGAAUCGUGAAGACUACAUUAGCCACCAAUGUGACCAAAUGGCCCGACCAUUCUUUGAAAACCUUAGUUACUCUCUUUUAAGGAAAAUCGAAGUUUGCUCUUGAGUUAAUUUGCAAAUCAUUCACUCAUUAACCAUCUAUUCUUAAGUCAGGUUUUUAUUGUUGAAAGUGACGUUUUAGGAAAGAUUAUUGUUUGUCACUUUGUUUUGCGAAAUUUCGUUAUCUUUCAAUGCAACAAAAAAAACUCUAUUGAUGCCCGAUUUUAGUUA